rnacentral:lncRNA from 1 species
GAAAUUUUAGCUGAGGUAGUGGACAUAUUGCACAGUCCUGCCAAAAGAAAUGUAGAUCCUAUGUGCGUUACACCUUGAGAAAUUGACUUUUGCACAUACAAUGUUGGUUGAUUUUUUUUUUCCUGAUGUUGUUCUGGAUAUUAACUGCGCACUGAGUAAGACACAAAAUCCGAAGCUUCAGACGGGGUGGUCUAGGCGUUCCCCGGAGCUGCAGACACUAACCAGGCCCGCUGUGUGCGCGCUUCCCGGGAUUCAAGCGAGCUCCCGCGCCAGGAGGACAUUGACCGGGGGUCCUUCAGGGGGCGGGGGGCUGGGUUGAAACAGGGGCCGCGGCAGCGCAGGACCCAAAACGAAACUGAGAUUUUUAGUCAACCGUCGUACUCGGCCUUCAGCGGCCCCUGUUUCGACCCGUCUGUCCCUCACACCCGCCGCGGAGACGGACCCGUCUGUUCCGUCUCCGCGGCGGGUGUGAGGGACCUACCGGAGCCUCCGGAGCGCCGGGCCCCAGCUCGCAGGAGCCCCGACAGUACAGCUGUCUGCGGGGUGUACCAAAAAUCAAGGUUAGACUAGUAAUUCAGUCAAGAGAGAUUUGAAACAAGAACUUCAAACUUUUAUGGGAGGUGCUACUUAUUUGACUCAUUUUUAUGGACGUGUGACUUGUCGAAACCUUUCGUUAACCAGCGAGCUAACUAACUAACGAGCUGAGACCCCGGUAACAGCUCAGCACCCCAGCCCCACGGCGCGCUCGCACCCCACGAGGAGGAGGAGGAGGCGCGAGAUGCAGGGGGUAGACGUUCCGAGCGGAGCUGCAGGAGCGCCGGCGGUGGGCGGCGUGAGGGAGCGAUCUGGCUGCGGAGCGCGUAUAUAACCCGCAUCGCGGCUCCCAGCCCGAGUCGGAGGCGCAGACCCGGGAACGAGCAGGCUCCCCGGCUCGUGACAGCACGCCUCCUCCCUCGAGCUCGUCGCGCGCUGUGGUGGCAAGUGUGCGUCGGGGACAUUUGGAGAAAACAGCAGAACGGGCACACAGAACACACCUCGGCGCCCGGAGCUGCUGCCUUCAGACAGCUGGAUCUCCGUACUCUGUGGCGCUGUGCUCCUGUCCCGCUGGACGAGUGCCAGUGUGGUUCCCCUGCGAUGCCACGGCUGACCUCCUGCAUCCCGGGAGUCCUGAUGCUGACGGCCUGGGCCUGUGUGGCCGCUGAUCCAGGGCGAGGGGUCAGUGUGACAGCAUCUUUGAGAAGGGGCUGAGGGAGCAGUGCACACCUCUGGCGGGUCAGUGGCACUGCACAGUGUCCGGCGGCGAGAUGUACAACUACUACAUAGUGACCGUGACGGCCCGGGACGCCAGGGGCAGCGCUACCUCCCCGCGCCUCUGUCUGUGGAACGAGUCAGGUACGGGUGGGAAAACGCCUGUCCAGCCCCCCUCUCCCUCUCCCUCCCCCUC